rnacentral:rRNA from 1 species
GUGUCAGCCGCCGCGGUAAUACGGGGGGGGCAAGCGUUGUUCGGAAUUACUGGGCGUAAAGGGCUCGUAGGCGGCCAACUAAGUCAAACGUGAAAUCCCUCGGCUUAACCGGGGAACUGCGUCUGAUACUGGAUGGCUCGAGUUUGGGAGAGGGAUGCGGAAUUCCAGGUGUAGCGGUGAAAUGCGUAGAUAUCUGGAGGAACACCGGUGGCGAAGGCGGCAUCCUGGACCAACACUGACGCUGAGUGAGCGAAAGCCAGGGGAGCAAACGGGAUUAGAAACCCGAGUAGUCC